rnacentral:ncRNA from 2 species
UAUAGUGGAGCGGUCGAUGGCGCCCGAAAGGGCCUAGAGAGGGAAUGCGGUGAGACGGAGGGACCCGUCGAGCCCGCGGCUGCCCCCGCAACUGUAAGCGGAAAGCUUCCAUCCAAAUGCCACUGGGUUUCCCCGGGAAGGCGGAUGUGGGCGUCUGAUUCGCGAGCCAGGAGACCUGCCUUCGGCGAACGGAACUU